UAAUAAACUUGACUCAUUCGGUUAGAGCUCGAUCACUACAGGGCGUGGAAGUGAACUAGAUAUAAAUUCGACAAGUGGUGGAAAGCUAAUCUUAUCAGCGAUUAUUAGCGAACGACGGGCAGCUAGAUAACGGUUUGGUAUAAAAUACCGAGCCGGGUGACUGAUAGGCAAACCGAACUAGUCAAGUUUUUCACUUUUCUCCAGAAAUCCGCAGAAUAACAGAAAGAGAAAUGGGAGCACCAGGUGGACCACCCGAUGGACCCGAUGGAAAGGGAGGACAGCAUGGUGGACCAAAUGACGGUCCCGGAGGCCAGGGAGGCCAGGGAGGUCCUGGAGGCCACGGAGGUCAUGGAGGACCUAACGAUGGUCCUGGAGGACAGGGAGGACACGGUGGCCCACACUAACGAGUCCGUGAAAGAAUGGCUGAAGCAUCGUCUCGCUGCUUGAAUAUAAAAGUUGGGCACAUUUGACAUUGUUGUUGUGCGAUAUGCACAUUUCUGAUAAAUAAACUUUUUUUUAUUGUACAGAA